CCUAAAUCCAAGUCGGAAGAACUUUCUCAAAGACAGAAUCAAGAUCAAACUUUAGAAGUUGGUACUGCCAAGCUUUUAGAAAAAUCAAACAACAUCAAGUCACCUCCCCUUGCAGAGCCCCCUAAAGUCAAGUCGGUGGAACUUUCUCAAAGACAAGAUGUUGAAGAUCUGACGUUAGAAGUUGGUACUGACAAGCUUUUUGAAAAAUCAAACAUCAAGUCAUCUCCCCUUGCAGAGCCCCCUAAAGUCAAGUCGGUGGAACUUUCUCAAAGACAAGAUUUUGAAGAUCUGACGUUAG